rnacentral:tRNA from 1 species
AGAAAGGUAAGCUAAAUUUUCAAGCUUUUGGACUCAUACCUCAAAUAUAGAUUUUAUUCUCCUUUUUA